rnacentral:tRNA from 1 species
UGUUCUGUGGCUUAGUUGGUUAAAGCGCCGGUCUAGCGAAUACGGAGUCGUGGGUUCGAAUCCCACC